GGCGCUAUAGCCAAGUGGUUACGGCGACAGAUUAGAAUCUAGGUGACUCUAUCUGUUCCUCUUUGAGGGCGCAGGUUCAAAUCCUGCUGGCGUCG
rfam:Lentinula edodes NBRC 111202 DNA, contig: scaffold407.